AAUAUGAUACCGGGGGUGGCUCUUUGAGCUUCUUUUUUCAAACUAACACCUUAUAACUCCGAAAAUUCUAAAAUAUUCAAUUUUUUCAACCUUUUCGGUUAUUCAAUUCAAUCUUCAUGUGGUAGCUUCACACACUUGCCGGACGACCGGGGUGGUAGCUCUUUCCUACAUGUGGUGGUAGUUUUCACACUCCUUUUGGAUGUAACUCUUUCCAUAUCUUUUAAACAUAGGAGUUUCUUUUUUU
rnacentral:lncRNA from 1 species